rnacentral:rRNA from 1 species
CAAUAGCGUAUAUUUAAGUUGCUGCAGUUAAAAAGCUCGUAGUUGGAUUUCGGGUGGGAAUGGCCGGUCCGCCGUUUCGGUGUGCACUUGCUACGCCCACCUUGCUGCCGGGGACGUGCUCUUGGGUUCACGCUCGGGACACGGAGUCGGCGAGGUUACUUUGAGUAAAUUAGAGUGUUCAAAGCAGGCCUACGCUCUGAAUACAUUAGCAUGGAAUAACACGAUAGGACUCUGGCCUAUCUUGUUGGUCUGUAGGACCGGAGUAAUGAUUAAGAGGGACAGUCGGGGGCAUUCGUAUUUCAUUGUCAGAGGUGAAAUUCUUGGAUUUAUGAAAGACGAACUACUGCGAAAGCAUUUGCCAAGGAUGUUCUCAUUAA